GCUUCAGUGGCGCAGUCGGUAGCGCGUAAGUCUCAUAAUCUUAAGGUCGACGGAUCGAGACCGUCCUGGAGCA